CCAUCACAACUAUCAUAGGUUUUUUCUUUGGAAUGGGAAACGAAAUGUCAUGGAAACAAAGCAGAUUCAAAACAUGGAAGGGACAACACCGGUGGGGUCGCCAAACUCUUUGAUCUAAAAUGCAGCUGGAUAACUGGAAAGCUUCCCACAAGAGUCACUUGUCCAAUCUACCAAUGUGCACUAUGGUGAAAGGCCAGACCUCAAGAAAAUUUUGUUCGAGCGUAAAGAAUCAAGUGUUGGGAUUCUUGUUUGCGGACCGAAGAAGAUGAGUCAUGAGGUUGCAAGCAUAUGGUCAUCUGGUCUGGCAGAUAAUCUGCAUUUUGAGUCCUCGAUAUUGAAAUUAAGGUCUUAAUUUGAUGCAUAUUUUAGUUUUGUACUUAGUUUUGUUACUGGAUUGAUUGUUCUGGCAUUAAUACAAUGGUGAAUUUGCAUUUUUAUUGCAA